AGAGUUUGAUCCUGGCUCAGAACGAACGCUGGCGGCAGGCCUAACACAUGCAAGUCGAGCGCUCUCUUCGGAGGGAGCGGCGGACGGGUUAGUAACGCGUGGGAACGUGCCCUUCUCUAAGGAAUAGCCACUGGAAACGGUGAGUAAUACCUUAUACGCCCUUCGGGGGAAAGAUUUAUCGGAGAAGGAUCGGCCCGCGUUAGAUUAGAUAGUUGGUGGGGUAACGGCCUACCAAGUCUACGAUCUAUAGCUGGUUUUAGAGGAUGAUCAGCAACACUGGGACUGAGACACGGCCCAGACUCCUACGGGAGGCAGCAGUGGGGAAUCUUGGACAAUGGGCGCAAGCCUGAUCCAGCCAUGCCGCGUGAGUGAUGAAGGCCUUAGGGUCGUAAAGCUCUUUCGCCAGAGAUGAUAAUGACAGUAUCUGGUAAAGAAACCCCGGCUAACUCCGUGCCAGCAGCCGCGGUAAUAC
rnacentral:rRNA from 1 species